rnacentral:piRNA from 1 species
CACCACUUACAAAUCAGACUUUGGC